UACGUAGGGGGCUAGCGUUAUCCGGAAUUACUGGGCGUAAGGGGUGCGUAGGUGGUUUCUUAAGUCAGAGGUGAAAGGCUACGGCUCAACCGUAGUAAGCCUUUGAAACUGGGAAACUUGAGUGCAGGAGAGGAGAGUGGAAUUCCUAGUGUGGCGGUGAAAUGCGUAGAUAUUAGGAGGAACACCAGUUGCGAAGGCGGCUCUCUGGACUGUAACUGACACUGAGGCACGAAAGCGUGGGGAGCAAACAGG
rnacentral:rRNA from 1 species